rnacentral:rRNA from 1 species
CUACGGGUGGCUGCAGUGGGGAAUAUUGGACAAUGGGCGAAAGCCUGAUCCAGCCAUGCCGCGUGUGUGAAGAAGGCCUUCGGGUUGUAAAGCACUUUCAGUGGGGAAGAAAGCCUUGGGGCUAAUACCCUCGAGGAAGGACAUCACCCACAGAAGAAGCACCGGCUAACUCCGUGCCAGCAGCCGCGGUAAUACGGAGGGUGCGAGCGUUAAUCGGAAUUACUGGGCGUAAAGCGCGCGUAGGCGGUCUGAUAAGCCGGUUGUGAAAGCCCCGGGCUCAACCUGGGAACGGCAUCCGGAACUGUCAGGCUAGAGUGCAGGAGAGGAAGGUAGAAUUCCCGGUGUAGCGGUGAAAUGCGUAGAGAUCGGGAGGAAUACCAGUGGCGAAGGCGGCCUUCUGGACUGACACUGACGCUGAGGUGCGAAAGCGUGGGUAGCAAACAGGAUUAGAUACCCUAGUAGUC